UUUAACACCUAAAACAGUUAAAGCAACAGUUAAAACUGUGCAUAAAUAAUUCUAUUGUCAAUAAAUUCAUGGCAUUUCUGCUUUACCCAAAACAUAGGGCAUUAUCCCAACUCCUACAUGCCUGUCUUCCUCCUUGUUUUUCUAUAGCCAAGAGGAAGGUGUGACGUUUGAAAAUCCGUUCCGGGUUUUCUAAGAGUUCUUGUUGUAUACCAGAAUCAGGAGCAGCUCCAUUCCAGGUUUUACUUGGUCACUAGUCAUAGAAAGGCCUGGUAGGCCUCAAUAAACACACUGAGACUGAAGGUGUGUUAACUUGAAACUGGAGUUUGGUUAAGUCAUGCAGAGCAAAGAAUCAAGUUUGGAAACAGCUUCUGAAGUCUCUUCUGGAGAAGGAGUCAGGGUGAGCGCUUGCCUUGAACAUUUGUACCAGCAUUUCACUGGAUCUGUGACAAAAACUAUAGCAGCAAAGUGAAUGCAGCACCAAAACGUGAAGUUCUUCAUAGAACAGCGAUACCUAUUACCCUCCUGACACAACACAGCAUAGCUGUCUUUUAGAAAGCAAAUGGAAAAUCUUGCUUGACAAACAAUUCCUGUCCUUGAGAACAGAUUGCUGUCCUUGAGACCCAGGUCCCCAUUCACGAUAUGUGAGCAGAGUCUACGGGAUCUCUUACAAACUGGGAGAAAGAUUCACCCCGGUUUAAGCAGUUUUGCAGGUAGUAUUUCAAAGUACAAAACCAACACUGCAUGAACUAAGGAGAACAGUCAUAGCAAUUGCCAACAUCAUCAUAUUUGGAAUCAAAGAUGACUGCCACAACAGUGGUGUCUGCUGGAUGAAAAGCUGUUCUGCAAGCAAAAUGGCAACAUUUGAUUUCACCCACCGAGUUUAUCAAUGAGAAGCUCCAUGUUUUAACCCCCCUCCCAAAAAACACACACACCUGUGAGUCCAAAAUGGCUUGAUUCCGAGCUUUUUGCAAGGUUACAGACAUAAAUACAAUUGCUAGAUGUUUUUGGCUGUAAAUAACAGAACAUGCUCUUCACCAGAAGAGUAAUUUUUGUUGUGCUGCACUUGACAAGGUUUGGUGGCAGGAGCUGCCUGGGGUCAAACUGGAAACCUUAGGGGUGGCCUGUGUGCUGCUGCCCCAUGUGGCGAGCCACUGAACUGCAGAUUGCAGCAUCUUACUAGACAGAUUAGCAUCCUAAGGCCUCAGAUGGUGUAGAGAUGGAAAAAACUUGCUGUGUAAUUUGUGAUGGUAAUAUGCAGAAAGGCAACUGUUGUGGAACAUGGUCUAGAAAAAAUUAAGAUAAAAUGCAGCAAGGGAAGUUGGCCUAGUUAACAUAUGGAUGUGAAACUGCACGUUAAGUGUUGUAACAACAUGCACUGUGUAUAAGCAUUAUCCAUUGUUAGAGACCUCCUAAGGAAGUACUACGUCCCGCCCUCCAGCAGUUUUAUGUUUGAGCAUUGCUGCAUUUAACUUCAAGACAUGCUGCAUCUUUGUAGUUAGCUAGCAGUCAAUAGCUAGCAGGUAGAGAGAAAUAAGCAGCUUGAUUGAGGACUUGAUUGAGGUUAAUAUGGUCAUCACAGUGCAAAUAAUUCAGUCAGGGAACUUGCAACAAAACAAGGCAAUGAAUGGAUUUGUACAAUACAGGUUUUGUUGGACAGUGUAAUAGAUCCACAAUCACUGCUGCUACUAUACCUGUGGCAUGUCAGAACCCCUACACAUGAAACAAGCAAUCAAUUUAGUACAACUGGAUGACAUAUCAAUUCGGAAAAGUCACUGGCAUUUGAGAAACUGUGCAAGUACUCUUAAAAACAUGAUGAAUGCCAGUGCAGUAUCGGUGAGUUAGUUGACAAAUUGAAGGGGUUAUCCCCCUUCUCAGGCUACACACAGUGAGAAACAUCUCGUAAGUAAAUUAGAAGGUGCCUUUGGGGAAGUAAUGUCUGCUUCAUGUGCUCCAGGAUUGAACAAAAAACAGCUUUCAUUAGCUUUGAUAUAACUGCAACAUACUUUCGGUACCAGAACAGGAAAGUUGAUAUUGAUGCACAUCGACAGUACAAAUAGCAGCAGCAAUAAUUUGGGAGGAGAUUUAUUUAAAGAUCUUUAGCUGUGACAGAUUGAAGACUGGUGAGGUUGCCAUAGCUAUGGCGUGUGGGGCAGAAGCUGGGAAAAGUCUACAUGAGAAGAUGUACCACCUGUACAAAAAACGUUUAGCUUACCAACCAUUACAUGCAAAAUUUGACUUCACAGCCUUUUUACCAAUGUCCACUGCUGAUAGGCAGCAUAGUCUCAAGCAUUUUCUACUCCUGUUGUGGUGUUGACCUAUUGAUUACUACAUAAUAGUUAUAUUUAUAUUACUUUAUCUAAUAACAACUUGCACAUUGCCUUGUAAUAUUACAGAUGUUCCUAAAAAUGGCAUACUGACAUCCUUAUCUGUCAGCUGUAUCAAUGAGCUGCCAAGGACUAUCAACACCCUUCCAUUUACAAAUUUUUCACACACCUUCAUCUGCUCACAUUUUCAACCUGAUUGUAGACAUUAAAAUAUUGGUAAAACCCA